UAGGGAAUCUUCCGCAAUGGGCGAAAGCCUGACGGAGCAACGCCGCGUGAGUGAUAAAGGUCUUCGGAUCGUAAAACUCUGUUAUUAGGGAAGAACAAAUGUGUAAGUAACUAUGCACGUCUUGACGGUACCUAAUCAGAAAGCCACGGCUAACUACGUGCCAGCAGCCGCGGUAAUACGUAGGUGGCAAGCGUUAUCCGGAAUUAUUGGGCGUAAAGCGCGCGUAGGCGGUUUUUUAAGUCUGAUGUGAAAGCCCACGGCUCAACCGUGGAGGGUCAUUGGAAACUGGAAAACUUGAGUGCAGAAGAGGAAAGUGGAAUUCCAUGUGUAGCGGUGAAAUGCGCAGAGAUAUGGAGGAACACCAGUGGCGAAGGCGACUUUCUGGUCUGUAACUGACGCUGAUGUGCGAAAGCGUGGGGAUCAAACAGG
rnacentral:rRNA from 1 species